UAAAAAAAUCUUCAUUAUUCAUGCAACUAGCAUACCACAAGAUCUUCAAAAACAACCAAAAACACUUGCACUUGGAAAAUCCAUGUACUCAGUAUUGUAAGACACUCUAGAUAAGAGCAUUUGAUAACAUGACUGAGGAGUUCCAGCGGUCUAUGCCACUGCCCCCGGCACACAUACGUUGCAGGGUGGGUUUGAAUAUGGCGUGAAAAAUGCCUUAAAAUUCGAUUGAAAAUCAAUAAUAAUGAGAAUGUUGCCUGUGACGAAAGCAAGUCUAUUUACAGAACUAUUUGUCUCUAAUGGUGCUCUAUUCGUGGACUUGCCUACUAAAAAAACAUUUUUGAUUGUCUAAAGUAAACCCCUCAUGUGCAGUAUAGCAGUCUGCGAUUUCAUUACUCUGUGGUACACUCAGGGGGACUAAGACACUGGUUGGGAAGCACUGGCCUACAUCUAGCUGAAGGCCGCGCGCAACGGGGUUGUGUAGUCAUACAGGAGGCCGCGCGCAGUGGAGACAGUCUAACAAAUCUUAUUUUACGAGCAAGUAAUUUAGGCAUAAAUAAUGUUUUCAGUGCAGCUUGCAUAUUUCCUGACCUACACACAUGUCAAUAAUUCAGAAAGCCUAACUGUAUGCGCGGCUACAGCAGAGGGAAAUCUCCAGGAUUGGUGAAGGCUGCAACAGCUCGGCUACGUUUAAAGCUCAGUCGCUACGGGUGCCCGGUAGCUUCACAGCGCAGACUAGAAUGCACAGAUGAACAAAAAGAGGACAAACAAGUUGGGUCGUUGAAAGUGCUGGAAAUGACUGGACAAUGUCUGCGUGAAUCCUGUACCAUAUUGUGAACAAAGUGAAUAUAUGUAGAGAAAAUGCAUUGAGUGUCUUCAGGAAUGGGCUGAAGGAAUUCAGGGACCCUUCACUGGUGGCAGCAAAUGGCUCAAUAGCCCCCCCCCCGCCCAGACAUAGGAUAAGGACCUGAACACAAUGGGCCAUCUACUGUGUUGGAGAAGUGUGUUAUACCUUGCCACCCUCCCCCCAGACACACACCUCCCAUCCUCCUAAGCCGGAACAGAAACACUUCCCAAUCCCUUCACCCCCCCCCCCCCCCCCCCCCCCGGCUCAACAAAUGUUUUCCAUUUGCCUGCUAGGCUACAAUAUGGUUGUCUAUGGCUCCAUCUGCCUGUGCAGGGUUCUGUCUGGCACCAAUAAGACCAGUCAGCCCACCUACAUACAUUUUACAAUAAAUGAUGUUACCCUGGAAUGUAUAUCGGUUUAAACGUGUUAUCGAAGUGUGUAGUAUGAAAAAAAAACAGGGAGUUGUGAAAUAAUAAUGCAGUAUUUAGUGCACAGUAUGAUAUUUGACUUAGCAAUUAACACAAUAUUGAAUAAUCC
rnacentral:lncRNA from 1 species